GAUGAACGCUAGCGGCAGGCCUAAUACAUGCAAGCUGAACGGUAAGAUUUGUAGCAAUACGGAUCCUAGAGUAGCGUAAGGGUGCGUAACACGUAUGCAAUCUACCCGCAACAGGAGGAUAGCUCUUCGAAAGAGGAAUUAAGACUCCAUAAUACCAUUUGAGGGCAUCUGAGGAUGGUUAAACUACAAGGGGUUGCGGAUGAGCAUGCGUCUGAUUAGUUAGUUGGCGGGGUAACGGCCCACCAAGACGAUGAUCAGUAGGGGAACUGAGAGGUUGGUCCCCCACACUGGCACUGAGAAACGGGCCAGACUCCUACGGGAGGCAGCAGUAGGGAAUAUUGGACAAUGGGUGCAAGCCUGAUCCAGCCAUGCCGCGUGCAGGAAGAAAGCCUUCCGGGUUGUAAACUGCUUUUUUCAGGGGAUAAAAUACCGGUGCGCCGGGAAUUGCAAGUACCUGGAGAAUAAGCCACGGCUAACUACGUGCCAGCCGCCGCGGUUAAAA
rnacentral:rRNA from 1 species